AACGGUUUUCUCUCUCGUCGACCAACCUCGGGUAUUUCCGACCCCCUUCGGGCUUUUCCGUCUGGUUCCCGCUCGGCUUUCUCCACUUCGGGUAUUCCCGUGUCCCGCUCGGAAGCACUCGGCAAUCGCUCGGCCUCCCCUAUCCCCCGGUAACGGUCGCUGGCUGCUAUAUGGCAAGCACUAAACCACUAUGCUUACCGAGAUGCGGUUUUCCUCGCAGAACGCCUUUAUGCAGAAGUACACUCAGAAGAAGCCUUGUUUUUACUGGCAACCUGUUAUUACCGCUCAGGAAAGGCAUAUAAAGCAUAUAGACUCUUGAAAGGACACAGUUGUACUACACCGCAAUGCAAAUACCUGCUUGCAAAAUGUUGUGUUGAUCUCAGCAAGCUUGCAGAAGGGGAACAAAUCUUAUCUGGUGGAGUGUUUAAUAAGCAGAAAAGCCAUGAUGAUAUUGUUACUGAGUUUGGUGAUUCAGCUUGCUUUACUCUUUCAUUGUUGGGACAUGUAUAUUGCAAGACAGAUCGGCUUGCCAAAGGAUCAGAAUGUUACCAAAAGAGCCUUAGUUUAAAUCCUUUCCUCUGGUCUCCCUUUGAAUCAUUAUGUGAAAUAGGUGAAAAGCCAGAUCCUGACCAAACAUUUAAAUUCACAUCUUUACAGAACUUUAGCAACUGUCUGCCCAACUCUUGCACAACACAAGUACCUAAUCAUAGUUUAUCUCACAGACAGCCUGAGACAGUUCUUACGGAAACACCCCAGGACACAAUU
rnacentral:sRNA from 1 species